GCUGGGCACAAUAGCUCAUGCCUGUAAUCCCAGCACUGUGGGAGGCUGAGGUGGGAGGAUCACUUGAGCUCAGGAAUUCGAGGGUGCAGUGAGCCAUCACUGAGACACUGUACCCUAGCCUGGGCAACAGAGUGAGACUCUGUCUCAA
ensembl:misc_RNA Metazoa_SRP Metazoan signal recognition particle RNA